AACGAACGCUGGCGGCAUGCCUAACACAUGCAAGUCGAACGAAGCCUUCGGGCUUAGUGGCGCACGGGUGCGUAACACGUGGGAAUCUGCCCUUCGGUUCGGAAUAACAGUUAGAAAUGACUGCUAAUACCGGAUGAUGACGUAAGUCCAAAGAUUUAUCGCCGAAGGAUGAGCCCGCGUAGGAUUAGGUAGUUGGUAGGGUAAUGGCCUACCAAGCCGACGAUCCUUAGCUGGUCUGAGAGGAUGAUCAGCCACACUGGGACUGAGACACGGCCCAGACUCCUACGGGAGGCAGCAGUGGGGAAUAUUGGACAAUGGGCGAAAGCCUGAUCCAGCAAUGCCGCGUGAGUGAUGAAGGCCUUAGGGUUGUAAAGCUCUUUUACCCGGGAAGAUAAUGACUGUACCGGGAGAAUAAGCCCCGGCUAACUUCGUG
rnacentral:rRNA from 1 species